UACGUAGGUGACAAGCGUUGUCCGGAUUUACUGGGCGUAAAGAGCGCGCAGGCGGUCGUUCAAGUCGAGUGUGAAAGCCCCCGGCUCAACUGGGGAGGGUCACUCGAUACUGAUCGACUCGAAGGCAGGAGAGGGUAGUGGAAUUCCCGGUGUAGUGGUGAAAUGCGUAGAUAUCGGGAGGAACACCAGUGGCGAAGGCGGCUACCUGGCCUGUUCUUGACGCUGAGGCGCGAAAGCUAAGGGGAGCAAAGCGGGG
rnacentral:rRNA from 1 species